UGGGGAAUAUUGGACAAUGGGCGAAAGCCUGAUCCAGCCAUGCCGCGUGUGUGAAGAAGGCCUUUUGGUUGUAAAGCACUUUAAGUGGGGAGGAAAAGCUUAUGGUUAAUACCCAUAAGCCCUGACGUUACCCACAGAAUAAGCACCGGCUAACUCUGUGCCAGCAGCCGCGGUAAUACAGAGGGUGCAAGCGUCAAUCGGAAUUACUGGGCGUAAAGCGCGCGUAGGUGGUUAUUUAAGUCAGAUGUGAAAGCCCCGGGCUUAACCUGGGAACUGCAUCUGAUACUGGAUAACUAGAGUAGGUGAGAGGGGAGUAGAAUUCCAGGUGUAGCGGUGAAAUGCGUAGAGAUCUGGAGGAAUACCGAUGGCGAAGGCAGCUCCCUGGCAUCAUACUGACACUGAGGUGCGAAAGCGUGGGUAGCAAACAGGAUUAGAUACCCUGGUAGUCCACGCCGUAAACGAUGUCUACCAGUCGUUGGGUCUUUUAAAGACUUAGUGACGCAGUUAACGCAAUAAGUAGACCGCCUGGGGAGUACGGCCGCAAGGUUA
rnacentral:rRNA from 1 species